rnacentral:rRNA from 1 species
CACGUAGGGUGCGAGCGUUAUCCGGAAUGAUUGGGCGUAAAGCGUCCGCAGGUGGCAAUGUAAGUCUGCUGUUAAAGAGUCUAGCUCAACUAGAUAAAAGCAGUGGAAACUACAUAGCUAGAGUACGUUCGGGGCAGAGGGAAUUCCUGGUGUAGCGGUGAAAUGCGUAGAGAUCAGGAAGAACACCAGUGGCGAAGGCGCUCUGCUAGGCCGUAACUGACACUGAGGGACGAAAGCUAGGGGAGCGAAUGGG